CCUACGGGGGGCUGCAGUGAGGAAUAUUGGUCAAUGGGCGAGAGCCUGAACCAGCCAAGUCGCGUGAGGGAGUACUGCCCUAUGGGUUGUAAACCUCUUUUGUCGGGGAGCAAAAGCCGGACGUGUCCGGCUGUGAGAGUACCCGAAGAAAAAGCAUCGGCUAACUCCGUGCCAGCAGCCGCGGUAAUACGGAGGAUGCGAGCGUUAUCCGGAUUUAUUGGGUUUAAAGGGGGCGCAGGCGGGUUUUUAAGUCAGCGGUAAAAUCGUGGGGCUCAACCCCAUCCAGCCGUUGAAACUGGGGAUCUAGAGUGUGCGAGAGGUAUGCGGAAUGCGUGGUGUAGCGGUGAAAUGCAUAGAUAUCACGCAGAACCCCGAUUGCGAAGGCAGCAUACCGGUGCACAACUGACGCUCAGGCACGAAAGCGUGGGUAUCGAACAGGAUUAGAUACCCUAGUAGUC
rnacentral:rRNA from 1 species